CUCUAAUUAAAUAUAUAUAAAAUUUACAAUUUUAAUUAUAUUAGAAA
rnacentral:tRNA from 1 species